AUUGAACGCUGGCGGCAUGCUUUACACAUGCAAGUCGAACGGCAGCGCGGGCUUCGGCCUGGCGGCGAGUGGCGAACGGGUGAGUAAUACAUCUGAACGUGCCCAGUAGUGGGGGAUAGCUCGGCGAAAGCCGGAUUAAUACCGCAUACGACCUGAGGGGGAAAGCGGGGGAUGUUCGGACCUCGCGCUAUUGGAGCGGCCGAUGGCAGAUUAGCUAGUUGGUGGGGUAAAGGCCUACCAAGGCGACGAGCUGUAGCUGGUCUGAGAGGACGACCAGCCACACUGGGACUGAGAGACGGCCCAGACUCCUACGGGAGGCAGCAGUGGGGAAUUUUGGAGAAUGGGCGAAAGCCUGAUCCAGCAAUGCCGCGUGUGUGAUGAAGGCCUUCGGGUUGUAAAGCACUUUUGGCGGGAACGAAAAGGACUGUGCCAAUACCACGGUUCGAUGACGGUACCCGCAGAAUAAGCACCGGCUAACUACGUG
rnacentral:rRNA from 1 species